rnacentral:lncRNA from 1 species
UGCAAUCAAAAGGACUUGAGUUUGAGCUUAAUUAAAAAGAGAGAUUAAAUUUGAUAAUAAUAUAGCCAAGUUGAAAGAAUGUUACUUAUUAUGUCAAUUGCAGUUCUACCGUUGGUAAAUCUUCCGGUUGGACCCAUCGGAAAGUCAAUUCCAUAAGGUUUGUAAUUAGAUUUUGCAGAGGUAGGAAGGUUAUUGUUGUUUCCACUAUCAGAUAAAGAAUCUCCAAAGAUAAAUACACAAGGCACUUGAGAUUUCCCAUUGACACAUUGUUUAAAAUAGUUUGCAGACAAGAAAACAAUAAGAACCACCAACCAUGUUUUGAUUAUAGAUUCCAUCUCUAAGAAGAAAGUCUAAUGAAGCUACAGAAUCCAGAUGAUAAUUAAGGAACCAACCAAGAACAAACAAGUUGAAGACAUAAAUAUUAAUGAUGGGACCACUCAAUUUUAAAAAAGAAAAUAUUGGUUUUUUGCAAGUUAUUACAUUAUUAAAAGCUAAUUUACUCUACACACUACAAAGUAUCAUGUGUGGCAUGCCAUCGAACUAUAAAAACUAAUUUCUUCAUAUUGAAGCAAUAAACUAAAACAUAAAAUUAUACUAUAAACUAAGAAACUCGCCUUAGUCAAAUUAAGGGUGCCACAACUAUUCCUUAGCGUUAGCGAGCAAUAAUAUAUUCACCACAAACUCAAAGCUUCUUGAAAUGUUCUUAAGAAGAUGGAAAGAGUUUGAAAAAACUAUAUACUAACUACUUCAUAUAUAUAUAUACCCUCCGGUCACUAAUAUAAGCAAAAAUUCACUUUUAAAAUACAUUCAAUUAAUGAUAUAUGUGACAUAUAAUAAAGACCACAUACAUCAUUAAUUGAAUGUAUCUAAAAAGUAGAUUUUUGCUUAUAUUAGUGACCGGAGGGUGUAUAUAUCUUAAGAAAGACACGUUAUCAACAUGUUGAAAUAAUACUACCGGAAAAAUUGCAAUCGCGGGCCCCACUUUUCUGUUCUGUAGUGAAUGGUAGAAAAGGACUAUUUCAGACUUUCAGUUGGGGUGCCAACUUUUAUAUAUGUUGGUAGUACAUUAUUGAGUAAUGAUACAUAGACACCCUUUAUUCCCAUACACCCUUGUACACGCCAUGCAUUAGGAAGAGAAAAGAGAAAGUGUGCUUGUGCGGGAUCCACGUGACUACGUGUCAGAUUUUUAUGUGGGUGUCAAAGGGUGUAUUGCCACCUAAGAGUGUCUAUGUAUCAUUACUCUACAUUAUUAGAUUGAAUGAAUGGUCUCUGAUUUCUUAUAUGUUGUUAAUUAACUCCGUUUGAAAGUUGGAAGCACUUUUCUUGGUUAGUGCGCAUAUGUAGCGCCGACACUUUUAAUAGAAGGUGUGUUUGGUGUCCGACACUAACAAGAACAACACAUGAGUUCUCUUAAUACUGAAGGAUGUUUAGCUUGAUAGUUUAGUGAUAGAAAAUCCAUUUUUGUUUUCAUUCUGCAUCAAAGGACCAUUACAGUAAGCCAUGGUUUAGUGAAGCCUGAACUAUAUGUAUAUCAUCAUAUGACCUUAUUGCAGUGAGUAGGUUCCAAGCCUCAGUGGGACGAAAUUAACAAUUGUAAAAACCAACUCAACUAUCAUCAUUAUCAUCCACUUAAAUUUGAUCCACCUCCUUUGCUAAAGUUAUCAACUAGCUUAUCAAACACAAAUCGGAUCAAACUUGAGGUAGCAGAACAUAUUACACUUAUUUUAUUUAAUUCUAGUUUACAGUAGUCCGUACAAUUUGAUAUUAAAAGAUUGUUUCAAAUGUAGGUAGGACAAGAAUUAAUGAACGUGUACAAAUAACUUGAACCUAUUUAACUAGAGGCACUAAGCUGUGAAGUGAAAUCCAAUUCCAUUUCAAUUUCUUGUUCAACAAGGUUCUUAAUAUCCAUUGGAUAAGUGAACCCUGAAUUAUGUGAAUUAUAAGACCUUAUUGCAUAGAGUUGGUUGCUUGCCUCAGUGGGAUGGACUUCAUCCCAAAACGCAUACUCACUCCUAUUAUAGCAUGGCCUUUCAUCAGGAAUACACCCUGAUGGGCAACAAGGAACAUUUGAAACCAAAAACCCUGAAAGCCAUGGAACAUGUAGCAUGUUUAUAUAUUGUAUAAACUUCAAUCAAUCACAUUAAAUUGCAAUUAAUUAUAGUAUAUGAAUUGAAAUUUAAGUAAACUAAAAUUAUUACCAUCUGAAUUCUGGGCAUCUGACUCUAACGUAGUGUUUACAAAUAUGAAUUUGGAAUCAGCGGAGAACUUAUUAUUGAAAUGAUCCACUAAAAAUUUAAGCUUGAAAUUGAAAAUCAAUGCAGGGGCAUUUUCCUCAUCAACGCAGGACCCGUUUGUUCCAUGAGUAAAGAUGGCACUUGGUGUGCAGCCCAAAAGGCCUAACCCUACUAACACAUAUUUUCUAGCUCCAAUGUCAUGUAAAGUCUGUUACAAAUAAUAGAUGGCAUUAUUAAACCAUCCUGUGUAACUCCAAAUAAUAUGCUACUAUUGUAAUUUUCCAAAUCAUUUUGUGAAAACUAAAAACAAAGGUCAAACACAGAGUUUGAGUGGAUACCAAUAAAUUUAAAGAUAACUCUUGAAUUAGAGCUUCUGCAUAUUGCUCAGGGCUAUAAAUUUGACUUGUUGGGUAGAAUUGAGGACGAAAGUAAUUGUUUAUGUAAUCAUUACUGCCAAUAUUCACAUAAUACAAGCAUUUGCUAAGGUAUUCUUGAGCUUUGUCAAUACCUUCAAGUCUGCUAGCAAUUCGAGAAACUAUAACUUUGUGAUUUUCUAACUGUAAUCCCAAACUGAUAACAAAACCCUGCACAGAAAUAAUGUUAUUUUGGUGGCAUAUGUAUGAGCAAUGUGACAAAAAUACACAAGUCAUCUACUAAUAACUAAUUGAAGAUAAUGAUGAACAAUCAAAUAAAUGAAAAGGCUCUUUGAUCAAUUUAUACCGUAGUUAUGCUUGUCUCGAUACGAAUUCCAGCUGCACCAGAUGCAUAGUUAACACCUUUGAGUAUGUCUGAACCAUUAAUGUUUGCAAAGGGUGGAAUGAAUUUCUCAAAACCAAGAAGCUGAGCUGCAAUAAAAAGAACUUUACAGUUUGAGCUGAAUCAAAAGAUUAAUGUAACAAGAGAAAAGAAUAAUGAAAAACACUUAUAGAUUCAAUCAGUAUAGUUUACUCUUACAAAAAAAGAGAGAAUCAGAUUUCAUAAUCAUAAUAUAGAUAAGUUGAACGGAAUGCUACUUAUUAUGUCAAUUGAAGUUCGACCGUUGGUAAAUCUUCCGGUUGGGCCCAUCGGGAAGUCAAUUCCAUAAGGUUUGUAAUUAGAUUUUGCAGAGGUGGGAAGGUUGUUAUUGUUUCCACUAUCAGAUAAAGAAUCUCCAAAGAUAAAAAGACAUGGCACUUGGGAUUUUCCAUUGACAAAUUGUUGCAAAUAGUUUGCAGAAAAGAUAAGAAUAAGAACCAUCAACCAUGUUUUGAUCUCACAUGCCAUCUAAGCAGGAAAACUAAUGAAGCUACCAAAUCCUUCGGGAGCAAUAAUAUAUAUAAUCAAUACAAUUAUAUUAUUCCAUUGUAAGAAAUAGUAUAAUCAAUAUAAUUUUUAUAUUAUUCCUUUUUGAGCAAUAAUACAUUUAUAUUAUUCCUUUGUGAGUAUUAAUAUAAUCAUCAACACCUUGAAAUGUGAUAAGGAUGAAUUGGGGGUUAUUAAGAAGAUUGAAAAGACUAAUUUUCUAAUUUUAUAUAGUAAGACAGAAACAAGACUAUUGUUAAACUGUCCAUCCAAUGUUACUGUUUGAAGCAAAAAUCCACCAAGACUACACUACCUUACUAAUGAAAAGUUAGAAAAUUAAAUGGAAGCAUCAAUAAUAUAUUCACCUCAAACUUGAAGCAUAUCAAUAUCUAGCUAGCUUCUUGAAAUGUUCUUUAAUAAGAUGGAAAGAGUUUGCAAAGACUAAUAUACUAACUUCAUAUUUGAAGAAGGUGAUUGAUGGUCGAUAAGAGUUGACGUUUGAAGAUUUUUUUAUUUUAUUUUAACUAUUUGAACUAGUUUUAUUAAAGGCAUUUUAGUCCAUUCAUGUCAAAACACCUUAAUCAUCAUCCUCAAAUCUUAGUCAACAUUAAAUACGUCAACUAAUCACGUUCACCUCAACGAGGGACCAAAACUUACUUGUAAUAAUCAUAGGGUAUUUGUUGAAGGAUUAAUUGAUGAGACCAAGGUUGUGAGACUCGCGAUCCAAUAAAGAAAAAAAAAACAUAAAACAAAUAUGAUAUUAUCGUCAAAAAUUCAAAGUUCAAAUGAAAUAUUGUCCAUCAUCAAAAUCACCACCACCAUCGUCAUCAUCAUGGUCACCAUCAUCUUCACCAGCAUCGUUAGCAUCAUCGUCAUCAUCAAAUUCUGCCCCGGAUGAAACACGUUAAACAAGACACUGAUUACAUGGAAAGGAAGCAAGUGAACGCCGUAGAUGAAAACAAACAAGUAAGUGAUUUACGAAAUAUAAACUGGAGAGCGUCGAAGGUGAAGUGUUUGCCGGCUAUGAAGGUGAGAUUAGAAGUCGUCGUUGCGAUAGAGUGGCUUUUCGUUUCUAAAAUUGCAAGAGAAAGUAAUCUUUAAAGGGAAAUGUUAAUUUGUGUCCUUAAGGCACAAGUUUAGAAACCAAAUGUCGAAAUUUAAUUUUGGAAAUUGUGCAUUUAAUAUCUUGAAAGUUUAAAAACUUAUUUUUUCAAUACAAAAUUUAUGUUUUAAUUCUCUUUUUAGAUCCUUAACUUGUGCCCUUAUGACACAAGUUAACAUGAUCCUUGUUUAUAGGGUUAUAAGAUUCUAGAUUUUUUCUAUUUAAAUUUUUUGUUUGAUUUUGAAUUUGUGCCGUAUUUUGGGCUUUACUCAUCUUAGACUCUCUAUGUGAGACUGCACGAGUCUACCACAAAAAUAAUUCUAUGUGCAAAUCUAUUAAUUAUUUUCUUCUAGACUAAUAUGUGUGAGUAUUCAUUUUUGCCUUCUAUACUCGUAAAUUCAUAUAAACCCGCGAGUUUGACAACCAUAACCGAUACUAGUUACAUAAGUAACAAAAAAAUAUUAAAACUUCGUAAAUUGUUCAAUAUCAGUUGUGAGUUCAACCACACUGAGACUACACUAAACUAAAAGAGUCAAGAAAGUAUAAGUCCCGAUGUGCGAUGUGGAAGAUGGCUAACAACAAUGUCAUUUCGACAACAAUCACCAACUACCAAUCAACCUUUUUGUGGAAAUGAAGUUGUUAUUGCUAUUGCAACACAUGCCAUGUUAUUAUAUAGGACAACUCUACGUAUGUUAUGUUUCUUUGCAAGCAAUGUGGGACUAAAACUCCAUUUUUAAUUUAGACUCUCUACUUUCCACACCUCACUUGACACAUGAAAUGAAACCCGUCCUCAGUCUCACUAUGCCACAAAACUUGCUAACAAUUUCUCAUCACUAUUUUUGUAUUACAAAACCCUUAAGAUAGAAUGGACUCCGCCCUAUUCUAUUUCUGUAUCACAAAACUUUGUUAAAAUGUUACAGUUUAGAAGCCUCUAUAAACAUGGUGUGAAGCAUAUUGUGCAAUUUUACUAUUAAAAUCAUAAGGGAAUGCAGUAAUUUACAGCACAUAAAUUUUAUGCUAAUUUAAUGAAUCCUACUUAGUGAGUUCAUUCAAUAUGCAGAAUAACAAUUAUCCAUUAGAAACAUAACUCAUAUUUGAACCUACUAGUAAAAUCAGAUUUCUGAGAUGCAAUCAAUAUCCAGAGCCAUCAGUUUUUAUAUUGAAGUUCAUUCAACAUGUUUUUAAACUGUGAAUUCAAACAUGUGUAUCUCAACAUAUACUCCAUUCAAGGGAUCAACAAUGCUGAUGAAAAGGAUCCAACAGAUGCUAUUUUACAAUCUUAUUUUACAAUCUAGAUCAAUACUACUAACUUGCAGUGUUCUCUGACUGAACUGUAUCAACAAUGCUAAUAGUAUCAAUACUACUAACUUGCAGGCAGUGUUCUGUGAUCGAAGUGUACGGAGGCUUCUAGUAUUUGAAACAAUUGAUGAUGUACACCAUCCUUAAUAUUUUAUUUCAAGUUAGGAAGUGAAAAAAGCCAUUUUCUUCUAUUCCAAGAAACCCACCCAAAUAACAAAACCAAAGCAAGCAUCAUGUUUGCAACAACUCAGACAUCACUAUGCCAGAAAACAUGUGCAACAAUUUCUCAUCACUUUUUUCAGCUCAUUCAUCUCUUUGGCUGACUAAGAGAAGGCAAAUGAAUUAUCAUUAUCCUCUAUGCAAUUGGAAGCCAACCAAUUGUCAGAUUUUGUUUAUUCAACCUACCCAUUAACAAUUGUAAAAACCAACUUAAUUAUCAUCAUUAUCAUCCGCUUAACUGUGAAUCACCUCUUUUGCUAAAUUUAUCAACUAAGCUAUCAAACACAAAUUUCACUCAAAUGUAAGGCGGCAGAACCAAUUACACUUAUUUGACUUAAUUCUAGUUUACAAUAAUGUCAUUUGAUAUGAAAAUAUGGUAUCAAAUGUAGGUAGGACAAGAAUGAACGCAUACAAAUAACUUGAACAUGUUUAACUAGAGGCACUAAGCUGUGAAGUGAAAUCCAAUUCCAUCUCAAUUUCUUGUGCAACAAGGUGUUUAAUAUCCAUUGGAUAAGUGAACCCUGAAUUAGUAGAUGAAUCGUACAUUCUUGUUGCAAUGAGUAGGCUCCAAGCCUCAGUGGGAUGAACUGCAUCCCAAGACACAUAUUCACUCCUAUUAUAGCAUGGCCUUUCAUCACGAAUGCACAGUCCAUCCAACCUUGAUGGACAACAAGAAGCAUUUUAAACCAAAAAACCUGAGAUUCAUUGAACAAGCAGCAUGGUUAUAUAUAUUGUAUAAAACCUCGAUCAAUCACAUUAAAAUGUAUUCCCUCCGUUUUUUAUUAUAAGCAAAUUUUAGCUUUUAGAUUCAUUCAAUUAAUGAUGUAUGUGGUUUAAUAUUUAGACCACAUACAUCAUUAAUUGAAUGAACUUUAAAGUCAAAAUUUGCUUAUAAUAAAAAACGGAGGUAGUAGUUAAUUAUAGUAUGUGAAUUGAAAUUUAAGUAAGCUAAAAUAAUUACCAUCUGACUCUAAUGUAAAGUUUAUAAAUAUGAAUUUAGAAUCAGCAGAGAACUUAUUAUUGAAAUGUUCCACUAGAGAUUUAAGCUUGGAAAUUAAAAGUAACGGAGUGCUGCCUGAAAGUUCCAACCCAACUAACACAUAUUUUCUUGCUCCAAUGUCAUGUAGAGCCUGGAAUAAAAUAGCUCUAUUAAAAAAAGGCAUCAUAAUAAAAAAAGAAAUAGAUAGAAUCACAAAGUGCACUAUAAAAGCUAAUUUCAAUUUGAAUUAAUCACUUAAAAUGUAAAAGAAACUCACCUUAGCCAAAUUAAGGGUGCCACUUUAUAUUCCUUCUUGAGCAAUAAUGUACUCACCAUGAAAUGUGUUAAGAACAAAUUCAAAUAGGCUCGGUGAUUGUCUGAUAGAUGAUCAAAGGUUGGCAGUUUUGGUGACCAGCACCGGAACAGUGUGAUUGGGAUCAUUAUAGACACUAUCGUGCAGCAACAAUACUAUAUCAAGAAAAUUUCUAUUCACGAACUGGAUCGCAAAGCACACGAUCUGGUCAUAUAAAAAUCAAAAACCGAUUUACCUUGACUUUGGCGGAAAUCAUGGCGGUAUGGGUGAUAAUAAGCUAGUUGCAAACUGCUACAUCAUGUCGUGAAACAUUGUGAGAUGAUUUUUCGCUUUAUCCAGCAUUUUCCAUCAAGCAAAUACAUUUGCUGAUGGUUCUUCUUCACAUGUCAUCGUACAUAGAACAAAUUGCUGACAAUGUGGGACUAAAAGACCAUAUUUCUAUUCUGUACUUUCAUACCUCGCUUGGCAUUCGUAUUUGAAAUGUAUCAUCAAGUUUAAGGAAGAAUCUAGAAGAGUUGCGUUGCUGAAUCAAAUACAUGUACUGAAGAAUAUUCAAUGAAGUUUAGUUUGCAGUAUAAAACCCAUUUUGAUUUUCAUUCUGCACUCACUUCCAUUUUCCAACAUCAGACAAAGACUAUUAACAAACCGAGUCAAUGUUUGCAUUUCCUUGAGCACAUCAUCGGUCGGAUACACACUUAAAUUCAUCAAAUAACUUAUCAAACACAAAUCAAAUCAAACUUAAGGCGAGAGAACCAAUUACACUAAUUUGAUUUUAUUCUAGUUUAUAAUAAUGCUAUUUGAUAUGAAAAGAUUGCUUCAAAUGUAGGUAGGAAAAGAAUGAAUGUAUACAAAUAACUUGAACCUAUUUAACUUGAGGCACUAAGCUUUGAUGUGCUCUCAUUUAUGGACUCCAAUUCCAUCUUAGUUUUUUGUUCAACAAGGUUUUUAAUAUCCAUUGGAUAUGUGAAUCCUGAAUUAUAUGAAUCAUAAUAAGACCUUGUUGCAGUGAGUUGGUUAUAUGCCUCAGUGGGAUGGACUUCAUCCCAAAAAAAAUAAUCACUCCUAUUAUAGCAUGGCCUUUCAUUAGCAUAACACCUUCCAAUCAACCUCGGUGGACAACAAGGAGCGUUUGAAACCAAAAACCCUGAGAUUCAUUUAACAUUCAGCAUGGUUAUAUAUGUUGUAUGCACCUCAAUCAAACACAAUAAAUUGUUUUAAUUAUAGUGUGUACAAAAAGAUUUUUAUAUAAUGACUAAUUUAAGGACCGAUUUAGAAACCAAAAAUUUCAAAUCGGUUGCUCACAUUAGAAACUAGAAACUAGUGAUUGAGAGACUUUUCACAAAUCAGUCAGAAAUUAAUUUAGAGAACGAUUUAGAGACUGAUUCAGACCAAAAUAUUUUGUUAAUACAAGCAUUUGUUAAGGUAUUGUUCAGAACUGUCAAUACCUCCAAGUCUGCUAGCAAUUUGAGAAACUAUUACUUUGUGAUUCUUUAACUGUAAUCCCAAGCUGAUAACAGAACCCUGUACAGACGUAAUGUUAUUUUGGUGACAUGUAUAUAAGCAGUGUAACAAAAAUAUUCUAGUCCUCUACUAAAAACUAAUUGCAGAUAAAGAUGAACAAUCAAAGAAAUGAAGAAGGCUCUUUGAUUUUCCUGUAAAAAAGAAAAAGACUCUUUGGUUUAUAAUUUUAUUUAUGCCAUAGUCAUGCUUGUCUCGACACGAAUUCCAGCUCCACGAGAUGCAUAGUUCACACCUUAGAGUAUGUCUGAACCACUAAUGUUUGCAAAUGGUAGAAUGAAGUUCUCAAAACAAGAAGCUGAGCUGCAAUAAAAAAUAACUUUAUAGUUUGAGCUGAAUCAAAAGCUUAAAUAAGAAGAGAAAAGAACAAUGAAAAACACUUACUGGUUCGAUCAAUAUAGUUUACUCACAAACAAAAAAAAAAAAAUAGAGAAUCAGAGUUCAUAAUAUAGAUAAAUUGAAAGAAUUGUUACUUAUUAUGUCAAUUGCAGUUCGACCGUUGCAUAAGGUUUGUAAUUACAUUUUGCAUAGGUAGGAAGAUUGAAAGAAUCUCCAAAGAUAAAAAGACAAGGAACUUGGGAUUUCCCAUUGACAGAUUGCUGCAAAUAGUUUGCAGACAAGAGAAGAAUAGGAAACACCAACCAUGUCUUUAUUAUAGAAUCCAUCUCUAAGAAGAAAAUCUAAUGAAGCUAAUAAAUCCAGAUAAUAAUUAAGGAACCAACCAAGAACAAGAUAUCGAUGCUGAGUUUGAGUUUAAGAAAGAUGGGUUUUUGGCAAGUUACAUUAUUAACUAAACAUAUAUACUAAUGCUAUAAAACUAUAAAAGCUAAUUUCUUCAAAUUGAAUUAAUAACUUAAAUCAUAAAAUUUGAUAAACUAAGAAAAUCACCUUUGUCAAAUUAAGGGUGCCACAAAUUCCGUAGCAAGUAAUAAUAUAAUCACCUCAAACUCAGCAUCAAUAUCUUGCUAGCUCCUUGAAAUGUGAUAUGGAAGAAUUGGAGAAUAUCAAGAAGAUGACUUUAAAUGGAGCCCUGUAAAUGGAAAGUGGAAUUAGACUCUUUUCAUUACUAUUUUUUUAUUUUUUUGACGGAGGUCUUUUCAUAGGUUAUUCUCGGAUUCAAUACUGAAUUUUUUAAAAUAAUCGAUAAAGUUUGCAAAAGACUGCUCCCUUCAUCCUAAAUUAUAGAUCGCCUUACAACAUCAUCACCGGAACAUUAAUGUUACUUAUUAUAUCAUUAAUUAUGUAUUACUCUUUUAUUUUUUAAGGGUUUUUCUAUCAUGCGCAAAUUUGCACAUGUUAAGAAAUUUAAAAUAGUAACUUUGCAUUGGAACUUGAACAUUUUGUAUUAAAUAUAUAACUUUUUGUUAAAUAAUUGUUGGUUUCAAUAAAAACUUGCUACUUUUAGUUACCUUAACAUGUGCAAUAUUGCACAUGUUAGACAAACCCAUUUUUUAAUUUUUUAAUGGUUUAAUAGUGUUUUUGGCCGCUGUAAUAUAGUGCACUUUUGGUUUUAGUCCUCGUAAAAAAAAAAAAAAUUAGAUUGAUACAUUGGGGUGAGAGACCAAUCCUAAAGAAUCUUCAUUUUUCAAGGGUGGAAUCUAAAAAAAAGUUUUACAAGAGCUAAAACCAAAAGUGCACUAUUACAGGGGCCAAAAACACUGUUAACCCUUUUUUAAUUCAUCUUUUACAUUUUAUUAUUAAGGACAAUUUUAUAAAACAAUUUAUUAUAUAUUUUUCUCAUACAAAUUAGGUACAAUUUUAAUACGGAUUAAACGUUCGAAACGUGGUAUAAUUUAGGACGGAAGAGUAAUAUUCUAUCUUCAAACUUCAUAUAAUAAGAAGGAAAAAAAACGGUAUCAAAUUAUCUACAUGUUAAAGUGACACUACCAGAAAUAUUACUAUCGCGGGCCCCAGUAUUAUGUUAUGUUAGUGACUAAAAAUGCUGAUGAAAAUUUUGAUAGGGACUAAAAAGUGCAAUUUUAUUUUAUAGAGACUAAAAAUAAAAUUAUGAAUAUUUAUAAGUACCAUUUACUUAAUUAACUUUUUUUUAAUAUAUUAUUCUCUCAAUCACCUCCUGUGCUUGGCUUCUGAAUUCUAUCUUGCGGUUAAUCCAAUGUUGAGAAACCAUAACGAAAAUAAAUAAAGUAGUGUUAUUUGAAUGGAAAUGUUACGAUUCAAAAUAGUAUACGAAGAUACACUUGACAUGACAUAAUUCGUUGAGGCCAAUUGAUAUGUGAUUAAUAGGAAAAUGCUUUAUGGUAACACACGAAAUUUUACGGAUGCGUGGAAUAGCUUCUUUUCAACGCGCUACAGUUUCUGGCUUUCUGCUUUGUUUUUAAAUGUAAUGAAAUGGAAUUACAUAUAUAAGUUGUUGAAAUUCAUGUGGUAGGAACAACAUGGAGGAGACUUUAUCCUAUUAUUUUAGUAUGAAGGCUUGAGCAUCUUACUUUUGUGAAUGAAGCACUUCCUUGGUACCUUUUUUUAUAGUUUGAAAGUGAGAAGUUGCAACUCUUCUCCUUUCCUUCCUUCAUACACAAUGAAAUCCCACAUGAAGGUGUUUCCAUGUAGAGAACAUGGAAACGUUAGUUGAUGUUUCAUAUGCCGUAUUUUAUUAUAUUAUAUAGAACAAGUUCAUAUGUUAUGUUUCUUUGCUAGCGAUGUUGGACUAGAAUGACCAUAUUUUUACUCUCUACUAUCACACGUCAUUUGGAACUUUUAAGUAUAUUAGUACAAUCUUUAAUAUUACGUUUGCUCACCAGUUUCUCAUCACUGUUUUUUCAUCUCUUUGAUUGAAUAAGUCAUCCACCAUUUGUGCAAAGGUGUAGCAUUUGUAGUAAACAGUAACACUAAUUUUGUUAAUUCAUAUAUAUGAUCUUCAUAUUGAGUCCCAUUGUCCCUAAUUCUCCUUUAGAACCAUUUGUGGUUGCAGAUUGUAGUCAUCAUUGUCCUCUAUGGAAUUGGUAGCCCUCUAUUAACAAUUUGUUGGAUCUAUCAAUAGGUUGUUCUUGAUCGUCUUUGACAACAACUAAGAAAAUCGAAAACAUUGGAAAGAAUUGAGACACUGGGUAAAUGUGCGGCCAACAUAUUUUCAGUUCCAAAUCAAAUAAUUACUUUUCUCCUUAUCAAGAUUUCAGAUACACGCUUAUAUAUAGUUAUCGACUAACGUAUAAUCAGAUAAACUUAAGAUAGUAUAAGAUUAAACUUAUUUCAUUAUUUCAGUUAACAAUAAUGCUAUUUGAUAAGAAAAGAUUGUUUCAAAUGUAGGUAGGAAAAGAAACAAUCCAUACAAUAUUGUAACAGCAUAUGAGUAGGGCCUAAUUAUGUAAAAGCUAUUUAGCUCAAUGUGAAUGAAUGCAUAAUAACUUGAACCUAUUUAACUAGAGGCACUAAGCUUUGAUGUGAUUACAUUUAUAGGCUCCAAAUCCUUCAUAGUUUCUUGUUCAGCAAGGUUCUUAAUAUCCAUUGGAUAAGUGAAGACUAAAUUAUUAUAUGAAUCAUACAUUCUUGUUGCAGUGACUAGGUUCCAAGCCUCAGUGGUAUGGAAUUCAUCCCAAAACACAUACUCUCCCCUAUUAUAGCAUGGCCUUUCAUCAGGAAUACACCCUCCAAUCAACCUUGUUUUGCAACAAGGAGCAUUUGCAACCAAAAAACCUGAAAUCAAACACAGUAAAAUUGAUUUUAAUUAUAGUAUAUGAAUUGAAGUUUAAGUAAACUAGACAAUUAUUACCAUUUGAAUUCUGGCUAUCUGACUCGGAUGUACUGUUUAUAAAUAUGAAUUUGGAAUCAGCAGAGAACUUAUUAUUGAAAUGAUCCACUAGAGAUUUAAGCUUGAAAUCAAAAAUGGAUGCGAUGUCAUUUUGCUCCUCAACACAAGACCCAUCUGUCCCAUGAGUAAAGAUGGCACUUGGAGUGCAGCCCAAUAGACCUAACCCAGAUAACACAUAUUUUCUUGCUCCAAUUUCAUGUAAAGCCUGUUCCAUGUACCAAAUGCCUCUAUUAUAAACCAUGAUAUUCAUAACUAAUGUAACUUCCAUUAAUUUGCUACUACUGUAAUUAUCUAAAUCAUUUAGUGAAAGUAAAAGUGAAACACAAAGUUCAAGGGGAUACCUGUAAAUUCAAAGAUAACUCUUCAAUUAGAGCUUCUGCGUACUGCUGAGGGCUAUAAAUGUGUCUUGUUGGAUAUAAUUGGGGAAGAAAGUAAUUAUUUAUGUAAUCAUUACUGCCAAUAUGCACAUAAUAUAAGCAUUUAUUAAGGUAUUCUUGAGCUUUGUUAAGACUUCCAAGUCUGCUAGCAAUUUGAGAAAUUAUAACUUUGUGAUUUUUUAACUGUAAUCCCAAACUGAUGACAAAACCCUGUAGCAAUACGAAUUUAUUUAAAGAUGAACAAUCAAAGAAAUGAAAAGGCUCUUUGAUUUCUAAUUUAUGUAAACCUUAGCCAUGCUUGUCUCGGUACGAAUUCCAGCUGCGCCAGAUGCGUAGUUCACACCUUUGAGUAUGUCUGAGCCAUUAAUGUUUGCAAAUGGUGGAAUGAAGUUCUCAAAGCCAAGAAGCUGAGCUACAAUCAAAAUAACUUUAUAGUUUGAGCUGAAUCAAAAGUUUAAGGUAACAAGAGAAAAGAACAAAGAAAAACACUUCAUGUUUCAUAAUAUGGUUAAGUUAAAAGAAUGUUACUGAUUAUGUCAAUUGAAGUUCGACCGUUGGUAAAUCUUCCAGUUGGGCCCAUCGGAAAGUCGAUUCCAUAGGGAUUGUAAUUAGAUUUUGCAGAGGUAGGAAGGUUAUUGUUGUUUCCACUAUCAGAUAAAGAGUCUCCAAAGAUAAAUAGACAAGGCACUUGGGAUUUCCCAUUGACACAUUGUUGCAAAUAGUUUGCAGAAAAGAAAACAAUAAGAACUACCAACCAUUUCUUGAUUAUAAAU